UACCUAUAGUGUGUACACAUACUUAAGAACUCCUUAAACCUCUCCCAAGUUUGAUACAAAGUCUCACUAUCUUUUUGUGCAAAGGUGGAGAUCUGCUUCUUCAAUGCA